CCUACGGGCGGCUGCAGUGAGGAAUAUUGGUCAAUGGACGAGAGUCUGAACCAGCCAAGUAGCGUGAAGGAUGACUGCCCUAUGGGUUGUAAACUUCUUUUGUCGGGGAACAAAGGCGGAGACGCGUCUCCGGAUGAGUGUACCCGAAGAAAAAGCAUCGGCUAACUCCGUGCCAGCAGCCGCGGUAAUACGGAGGAUGCGAGCGUUAUCCGGAUUUAUUGGGUGUAAGGGGUGCGCAGGCGGGAGAUCAAGUCAGCGGUAAAAUGUCGGGGCUCAACCCCGGCCGGCCGUUGAAACUGGUUUUCUAGAGUUGGAGAGAAGUAUGCGGAAUGCGUGGUGUAGCGGUGAAAUGCAUAGAUAUCACGCAGAACCCCGAUUGCGAAGGCAGCAUGCCGGCUUCCGACUGACGCUGAAGCACGAAAGCGUGGGGAUCGAACAGGAUUAGAUACCCCUGUAGUC
rnacentral:rRNA from 1 species